ACUAGGAUUCUGUCUUAUGACUUGUUUUAAUUUAGUUUCCCAAACCAAAUCAAAUCAAAAUUAGAUCAACCUAAUUAAAAUAGGUCUUAACCCAAUUAAGAACCUAAUUUAAUCAUAUUAAAUUAGAUUUAAAUCUGAUUUAAUUUUUUAAUCAAAUUAGAAAUUAGAUUGACCCAAGUCCUAGUUGAACUAGGACUAGUUUUUCCUUGCACUUGGCUUAUCCAAUAAACUAAUUGGACUUGAUCCAAUCAAGUCCAAAAUAAAUCUAAUUAAAUUAUAUUUAAUUAGAUUUAAUUUCAACCCAUUAGCUUAAUCAAAUUAAGCCAAUUAGCAAUCAAAUUGCUAAUCGAUCCUCCUGCAACACUUGCACUGGGUUAAAUGUCAAUCGUAUUGAUCAUUUAACCCUAGAAUGAUUCUUAAUCAUUGAUCAACCAUCUGAUCGGAUCAUGAACUCUAAUGUGUGUGACCUCAUAGGUCCGAACCUAAGCCGGUAGCAUAGGAAUAAAUUUCUAUACCAAUCGAAGUGACCAUCUAGCAAUGGUACCCGACGAUCAGAUAGGUCGAAUGUGUAGAACAACAUCCUUAGAACCCAUGCGGAUAUAGUUUUCAUAUAAUUCAUCUCCUCGACCAAAAUGAUCAUAGAACACCCCAGAGCUCAACUAUCUACUCUGAUCAGGUUGUCCACAUUGUAUUUCAAAAUAUCAAAUCCAUCUGAUGGAUUACCCUGGCCAAGGUUUUGCUAAAUUAAAAUACAGCGACUCAUUCUUCUCCAACUCUUGGAGUGGUCAAUCCC
rnacentral:lncRNA from 1 species